GGGUCGGGGGCGGCUGCGUCAUGACUCCGCCAGCUGAUCCGGGACGGAGCCGGCGCGGCGGGGGAGGCGGCACCGGGCACGGGGACCGGCACCGGGCACGGGGAACCGCCACGGCCCGGCCGCCACCGGGGGGACCAGACCCGCAGGUGCUUCCAUGCCGCCCCCUGCUCCUGGCUAACCAGCACCAGUUCUUCAGUGGCAAGCUUUAUGUCCUUCUCCAGUAGCUAAAGCUGCCAGUUGAAGAACUGUUGAAUGUAGCCACUCUCUUCUUGUCACCGGGACCUUGGAUGCCAGCCAGACCCGAGCCCUGAGCGACCAGGAUGAGCCAGUCUGCAGCGUCCUGUGGAUUUGAGGGCUGAGGAUGAGUCCAGCUGGGAUGAAGAAGUCUUCCCACAGCCUCCAGACAGACCCUUGGCUGGGGGAUUGCCAGGCAGCCCUGUCAAGUGGGGUCCCCCUCAGUGGGGUGGCACUGAGCUGAGAGGAGACCGAAAGAGGCAUUAAACUUUCUGUUUUGCUCAACA